GUAGGUGGCAAGCGUUGUCCGGAAUUAUUGGGCGUAAAGCGCGCGCAGGCGGGCCUUUAAGUCUGAUGUGAAAGCCCACGGGCUCAACCGUGGAGGGUCAUUGGAAACUGGGGGACUUGAGUACAGAAGAGGAAAGCGGAAUUCCAAGUGUAGCGGUGAAAUGCGUAGAGAUUUGGAGGAACACCAGUGGCGAAGGCGGCUUUCUGGUCUGUAACUGACGCUGAGGCGCGAAAGCGUGGGGAGCAAACAGGAUUAGAUACCCUGGUAGUCCACGCCGUAAACGAUGAGUGCUAAGUGUUAGGGGGUUUCCGCCCCUUAGUGCUGCAGCUAACGCAUUAAGCACUCCGCCUGGGGAGUACGGCCGCAAAGGCUG
rnacentral:rRNA from 1 species